rnacentral:rRNA from 1 species
AUUGAACGCUGGCGGCAUGCCUUACACAUGCAAGUCGAACGGCAGCACGGGAGCAAUCCUGGUGGCGAGUGGCGAACGGGUGAGUAAUAUAUCGGAACGUGCCCAGUCGUGGGGGAUAACGCAGCGAAAGCUGUGCUAAUACCGCAUACGAACUAAGAAUGAAAGCGGGGGAUCGCAAGACCUCGCGCGAUUGGAGCGGCAGAUAUCAGAUUAGCUAGUUGGUGGGGUAAAGGCCCACUAAGGCGACGAGCUGUAGCUGGUCGGAGAGGACGACCAGCCACACUGGAACUGAGACACGGUCCAGACUCCUACGGGAGGCAGCAGUGGGGAAUUUUGGACAAUGGGCGCAAGCCUGAUCCAGCAAUGCCGCGUGCAGGAUGAAGGCCUUCGGGUUGUAAACUGCUUUUGUACGGAACGAAACGGCCCUUUCUAAUACAGGGGGCUAAUGACGGUACCGUAAGAAUAAGCACCGGCUAACUACGUGCCAGCAGCCGCCGUAA